AUUGAACGCUGGCGGCAGGCCUAACACAUGCAAGUCGAGCGGAUGAAGGGAGCUUGCUCCUGGAUUCAGCGGCGGACGGGUGAGUAAUGCCUAGGAAUCUGCCUGGUAGUGGGGGAUAACGUCCGGAAACGGGCGCUAAUACCGCAUACGUCCUGAGGGAGAAAGUGGGGGAUCUUCGGACCUCACGCUAUCAGAUGAGCCUAGGUCGGAUUAGCUAGUUGGUGGGGUAAAGGCCUACCAAGGCGACGAUCCGUAACUGGUCUGAGAGGAUGAUCAGUCACACUGGAACUGAGACACGGUCCAGACUCCUACGGGAGGCAGCAGUGGGGAAUAUAGGACAAUGGGCGAAAGCCUGAUCCAGCCAUGCCGCGUGUGUGAAGAAGGUCUUCGGGUUGUAAAGCACUUUUAGUUGGGAGGAAGGGCAGUAAGUUAAUACCUUGCUGUUUUGACGUUACCAACAGAAUAAGCACCGGCUAACUUCGUG
rnacentral:rRNA from 1 species